GAUGAACGCUGGCGGCGUGCCUAAUACAUGCAAGUCGAGCGAACAGACGAGGAGCUUGCUCCUCUGACGUUAGCGGCGGACGGGUGAGUAACACGUGGAUAACCUACCUAUAAGACUGGGAUAACUUCGGGAAACCGGAGCUAAUACCGGAUAACAUGUUGAACCGCAUGGUUCAACAGUGAAAGACGGUUUUUCUGUCACUUAUAGAUGGAUACGCGUCGCAUUAGUUAGUUGGUAAGGUAACGGCUUACCAAGGCAACGAUGCUUAGCCGGCCUGAGGGGAGGAUCGCCCGCCUGGAACUGAGGAAGCGCCCCAACCCCUGAGGGGGGCCACAGUCGGGAAUCCUCCGGCAUGGGGCAAAGGCUGAUCGAGGAAACGCGGCGGAAGGAAGAAAGUGCUACGAUCCGUAAAUCCUGUUUAUAGGGGAGAAGCAAUGUGUAAGUAACUAUGCACGUCUUGACGGUACCUAAUCAGAAAGCCACGGCUAACUACGUG
rnacentral:rRNA from 1 species